rnacentral:rRNA from 1 species
GUGGGGAAUAUUGGGCAAUGGGCGAAAGCCUGACCCAGCAACGCCGCGUGAAGGAAGAAGGCUUUCGGGUUGUAAACUUCUUUUGUCAGGGACGAAAAAAAUGACGGUACCUGACGAAUAAGCCACGGCUAACUACGUGCCAGCAGCCGCGGUAAUACGUAGGUGGCAAGCGUUAUCCGGAUUUACUGGGUGUAAAGGGCGUGUAGGCGGGAAAGCAAGUCAGAUGUGAAAACUAUGGGCUCAACCCAUAGCCUGCAUUUGAAACUGUUUUUCUUGAGUACUGGAGAGGCAGAUGGAAUUCCUAGUGUAGCGGUGAAAUGCGUAGAUAUUAGGAGGAACACCAGUGGCGAAGGCGGCUUUCUGGACCAUAACUGACGCUGAGGCACGAAAGCGUGGGGAGCAAACAGGAUUAGAUACCCUUGUAGUCC